CAGUCGCCACGGUAAUACGAAGGGUGCAAGCGUUAAUCGGAAUUACUGGGCGUAAAGCGUGCGUAGGCGGUGAGUUAAGUCUGCUGUGAAAUCCCCGGGCUCAACCUGGGAAUGGCAGUGGAUACUGGCUCGCUAGAGUGUGUCAGAGGAUGGUGGAAUUCCACGUGUAGCAGUGAAAUGCGUAGAGAUGUGGAGGAACACCGAUGGCGAAGGCAGCCCCCUGGGCCAAUACUGACGCUCAUGCACGAAAGCGUGGGGAGCAAACAGGAUUAGAUACCCCCGUAGUCCCUGUCUCUUAUAC
rnacentral:rRNA from 1 species